GGGGCGUGGUUUGGCGCCAAAAGGCCCUCGCGUAUUUGGUUAGUCCGCCGGUGAACUGUUGACGAGACUGUGAUUUGCUGACUGGUGUAGCCGGGUACCGCUACGUAUUGACACCCAGGAAACCAGUCAUACCUAAAGCACACGGUAUCCAAGCGUAGGAGAUGCGUAACUUACUCAAGGUUAAAGAAUAAGAGCAAAAAAAAAACAACAAACCGGUGAACGCAAAUUAAGUAGAAGAACAUAAAUGGAAAAAUAAAGAAAGAGAAGGUAGGGUUUGAAGAAAAAGAAAAA